UACGUAGGGUGCAAGCGUUGUCCGGAAUUAUUGGGCGUAAAGAGCUCGUAGGCGGUUUGUUGCGUCGGCUGUGAAAUCCCGAGGCUCAACCUCGGGUCUGCAGUCGAUACGAGCAAACUAGAGUGUUGCAGGGGAGACUGGAAUUCCUGGUGUAGCGGUGAAAUGCGCAGAUAUCAGGAGGAACACCGGUGGCGAAGGCGGCUGCCUGGCCCAAUACUGACACUCAGGUGCGACAGCGUGGGGAGCAAACAGG
rnacentral:rRNA from 1 species